ensembl:lncRNA
CAUUCAACGAACUUGAACUCGGAGAGGAAGCAAGCAGCCCACUUCCUAUCGUCAUGGUAACAGCAUGUGAAUGUGUUGAGCCCGAGCGGUGAGCUAGAGAGAGACAGCGAUAGAGUGGGAACAGCAUCACACAGCACAGCUCGGUCUCCAGAGCGAAUGAAAGGAACAGCUUGAAGGAGCUAAUGGAAUAUCUCUGCAACAGAUUCAUGGGAAAGUGCUGAACUAAAAUCAGAGAUGGAAAACACAACCUUGGUUUGUUCUGCCCAAGGCUGGUGCGGCCCGAACGUUUCCACCUUUUCAUCCGAGUGGGAUGAUAAUGUCAACUCCUUUCUGAUGGCACCUGACGUGAUCAAACCCCCUCCACAGUUCCAGGAUCCAGAGGAGCCGAGCCAGGCAUCACCCACUAACUCCGCUGCCAUGAUAAGACGAGAUAAAGAUUGCGUGAGCUCCAUGAAGAAAGAGCGUAGGAGUCGACCAGCCAGUAACAUAGAGCUCCACAGACGCUCCUUGUCACUUUCCACCACUGUCAACUCCAACCCAGGUGUGGCCCGGCGCCGGUGCGAAAGCUAUGCACUUUCAUAUCCCAGCAGCAGCUCAGAGGACAGCGGCAGCGACAGCACAUCUGCCAGGAGGGGAGAUCGACUUCCAGAUGCAGUGCCGCGAUCUAGGUCCCGGAGCAUUAUCCUCAAGAAGGCCAAAAGGAAACCGGCUCCACCUGUGCGAACAGUAUCAUUGCAAAGGCUCGCGGCGGAGCAGUAUUCCCUUCCAUCUCUUCUCCUUCCAAACGCUUCGGGUCGAACUCUCCGUCGAGUGGCUAUGCAAGCCAAUGCGAAACACCCACUCAAUCAGGACCUUCUCAGCUGGGAGGCAGAAUGCGCCAUAAGCCUUCCAGUGUUAUUCCUGGCCAAAGGGCAAAAAACCGCAAUGCAAGGCUAUCUCUUCAGCUUCCUGAACUUAAGCAGCACACUCCUGAUCCAGAACCGGUACAGCCGAAAGCAAACCGCCGCUACUCGGACAGCAUCGAAGCCACCAGACCCAAGCAAAGGAUGAGUAACAGUUUGUUAGUCAUGCCCGUGGUUACUCAGGAGGACCUGAACAACGUGCGUUUGCGCGCGGUCAGCAGCUCCGAUCUUGAGAAUGCACAGGAAAUUACAACUGAUGUUAUUGAGGAGGAGACUGAAAGGGGUGGAAGCUCUUUAAGCCCUACAAACAACCAAAAAGCCAAACCUCCAGUGGCUCCCAAGCCCCAGAGAAAUAAAUGGCCACCCAAUGCCAUGGUACAGCCACGUUUUGGAACGGCUUCCGAUCCAGAACCGCCAACAGUCACAGCCAGUGAGAGACCAGAAGACAUUUACGCAAUGAUCAACAAAUCAAAACCCACAGUGACUGUACCAUCACAAGGUACUGAGCGAACACAUCAUCAGAAGCAGCAGAAGGACUGCUACUUUUUGGAAGGACAUUCUCCACAGCCGAUGAGAGAGUCCCGUCAGCCACAACCCCCAUGCACUUUUGAACCACAGAAUCCAAAUGUGCUCCCCUUUGACACGACCACCUGUUCUAACCAAUAUGAACUUCAUAAAAAGAGAAGAGCCCCGCCGCCUCUGACAAAGACACCAGCUGUGGACAAUUCACUUUAUUAUAACUCGGCUGCUCAGAAAAGCUCAGACGAUGCCCAGUCUCCAGAUAAACUCUGCAAGUCUCCGAAGUCUCCAAUCUCUGCAAGUCAAUAUCAUGUUACCCUUUAUGGUGUCAUUCCAUCUUACCCUAUGGUCAUUGAGCAACAGCACUCAAAUGCACCAGAUCAUUCAACUUAUGAUGUAGAGAAGAGGGACCGAACGCCCGACCUUGGACCUCUACAACUGGUAGGAGAGGAAGACGAUGUGUUUCUUUACAAGUCCAAAUCUCAAACGACAGAGGACCUAUUCACCAUAAUUCACAGGUCUAAAAGAAAGCUCCUGGGUCGUAAAGACUCCUUCGAAAAUAAGCAGGGUGACGGUGACCCUGGCACUCAGACACUCGGCAGUGGAGCUUCCAAAAUCAGUUCUCAAAAUGACAACUUCAUGGCUUUUCUGAGAAGGACAAGAAGUGCCAAGGCUAGUUGCAGUGAACGAAUCUCAGCCACAGAGCUCCUCAGAAGCUCCAAGCCCACGGCUACCAUCACGGCAAACAUGACGCACUACAAAAAUAGCUAUGAACAGUCACACGGUCCAUAAAGCAUCUUUUUGUUCGCAGUCAUGUUUUAUAUCUAAACUACUUUGUGACAAAUGCCAUUUUAAAGUCUCUGAAAUAAUAUCGAAGUAUCAAGAAAUUGGCUUGUAAAUAUUCGCUUUUUUGUUUUGAAUAAGAUCUAAAGUAGAGCUUUAAGAAGUUAAAACGUAUAUCUUCCUGAAGCACGUAUGUUGUUUUGAAUGAUAACAGAAUGAUUCACUUUUGUAAAUUCAAAUAUAGCUUUAUGUGUUAAUGUAAAUAUAAAUGUUUUAAGAGUUGAGAUGCUAUCCAGAGAAAAUAUCACAGUUGUAGUCACGAUGUUCCUGAAUAUUAAAACAUAAAUAAUUUGUUGUGUUUGGACUUCCUGCCUUCCAUAAAUAUAGCAGACUAUUGUAUAUCAAUGACUGUUUUAAAGAUGUUCUGCUGUAGAUUUGCACAUGUUCAGUAUAUUAAAUUACUUUUCAGAAGUGACUUGAUUAUUUUUGUUUUACUCAAAACAUUCUACAGUAUAUUCACCCUCUGCAUGCAUUUCAUUUGUUUUAUGUUCACAGAAAGGCAUUUUUAUUAUUUAUGCAUAUAGUUUAUCAAGUAUCUCUUUAUAUCAAGGUACCAUUAGAUAUGUGAGAUGUGUGAGGAAGAGCUGGCAGACAAAACAAUGAAUCUGUGAAAAAAAACAUGAACUUUCUCUUGUAGCUUUAUUAUUAUUAUCACAAAUAGAUUACUGCUUGAAAAUUGGAGUUUUGCUGCAUUUUGGAGGAGCAAUGCUGUUUAAACAUUUCUCCUAUCACAACGUUCGCAUUCGAUAUAUGGUAGGUUUACUAAACUAGUAAUAAUAUAUAGCAUGCAAGCAUUUGAUAUUGCAUUAUGAAGUUCUUCUCAAGCAAUCAAUUCUGUUUUAAUUCAUAACGAUGUUGUAUUGAUAUUAGUGAAUCACGAUUAAUCGCAUCCAAAAUAAAAGUUUGUCUUUA